GCGCCGUUUUUUUAUAUGCAGUUG
rnacentral:siRNA from 1 species